GUGGGGAAUCUUGGACAAUGGGGGAAACCCUGAUCCAGCCAUGCCGCGUGAGUGAUGAAGGCCCUAGGGUUGUAAAACUCUUUCGGCGGGGACGAUAAUGACGGUACCCGCAGAAGAAGCUCCGGCUAACUUCGUGCCAGCAGCCGCGGUAAUACGAAGGGGGCUAGCGUUGUUCGGAAUUACUGGGCGUAAAGCGCGCGCAGGCGGUCCUUUAAGUCAGGGGUGAAAGCCCAGAGCUCAACUCUGGAAUUGCCUUUGAAACUAGAGGACUUGGGUACGGGAGAGGUGAGUGGAAUUCCGAGUGUAGAGGUGAAAUUCGUAGAUAUUCGGAAGAACACCAGUGGCGAAGGCGGCUCACUGGCCCGUUACCGACGCUCAGGCGCGACAGCGUGGGGAGCAAACAGGAUUAGAAACCCGGGUAGUCC
rnacentral:rRNA from 1 species